rnacentral:rRNA from 1 species
GAUGAACGCUGGCGGCGUGCCUAAUACAUGCAAGUCGAGCGAACGGACGAGAAGCUUGCUUUUCUGAUGUUAGCGGCGGACGGGUGAGUAACACGUGGAUAACCUACCUAUAAGACUGGGAUAACUUCGGGAAACCGGAGCUAAUACCGGAUAAUAUUUUGAACCGCAUGGUUCAAAAGUGAAAGACGGUCUUGCUGUCACUUAUAGAUGGAUCCGCGCUGCAUUAGCUAGUUGGUAAGGUAACGGCUUACCAAGGCAACGAGGCAUAGCCGACCUGAGAGGGUGAUCGGCCACACUGGAACGGAGACACGGUCCAGACUCCUACGGGAGGCAGCAGUAGGGAAUCUUACGCAAUGGGCGAAAGCCUGACGGAGCAACGCCGCGUGAGUGAUGAAGGUCUUCGGAUCGUAAAACUCUGUUAUUAGGGAAGAACAUAUGUGUAAGUAACUGUGCACAUCUUGACGGUACCUAAUCAGAAAGCCACGGCUAACUACGUG